UUUCUUUUCCCUUCGGUUAAGUGGCUUCCUCCUCCGCCACCACCAUUGUCUCCAUUUCUCGGCAAACCCUACCAUACUCUCUCUUCAAUCGAAGCCACUCUCAGUUUCACAACUGUUGGAAUCUACUCAAUCGGAUUACAAAAUCGAUAAUCUUGACCUCUUUUUUGGUCAAUACAUCUGACGAUCCUUCUUCAUUUCGCUCGAGGGCUUGGUCCAAUGAGUGCUACUGAAUCCAUAUCGUCCUGUGUUCGAUGUGGAAAGCCUGCGAAUCUGCAGUGUCCCAAGUGUGUGGAACUGAAGUUCCCCGUGAAGGUGCUGCAUUCUGGUUUGCACCCAUUUCCUGAGCUGUCUGAAUUCUAUCCUACAAGAGCUAGGGUAGUUUGAGGAAGAUGAAAAAGUAGAAAUAGAAAUCAAGUUGGUGGUAUCAAUGUUGCCCCCUGUAUCAAAAUUGGCCUGUCAUGCUCUUUGUCUAGACCCUUUCCAAGUCUGUGGGAUUCUAGAAGUAUUACUUCUUGAUUGCUGAUUAUACUGCCUAACCAAUAGCGCAGGUUUUCCCGGCUGCGAACUAGUUUUGGCUAACAUUCUUGGCAUUCCCUUCUGUUACCGACUAGCCUCCUAGGAAAUUGCCAUUAAUUCAAAGAGUGUUUUAGAAUAAUCUCAAAACUUGAAAGGUGACCCAAAAUAGUUUGGGUGUUGUCAGCUGGUUGAUUGAACUCUUGUCUAAUUGAAUUUGUACUUGUGUAGUUUUGCUUUAAAUAAAUCUUAUUGAAGAGGCAAUUAGGGGAA